GUGCCUGGUAGGGCUCUGUGCUGUAAUGACUCUCCAUUAGGCCCAACCAGAUUUAACUUUGAUGAGCCUGAUGCAUUUUGAGGAACAGCCUGAAAUACAGGCAAAUGUGCAUAAGCGUUUAAAGGAGAAAACCUACACCCAUAAAAUAAUUCUUCACAGCAGCCAGUUUCUUCCCUGGAUACAUGAUUCAUCUCAGGGGGCUGGGGGACCCAUCCCUAAUGGGGACGGAAUGACACUGCAUUCUUGUGACCAGCUUUCCAUGAGUUAAAUUGCAUCACUUAGACUCAU